rnacentral:rRNA from 1 species
UACAGAGGGGGCAAGCGUUGUUCGGAAUUACUGGGCGUAAAGGGCGCGUAGGCGGCCUGCUAAGUCGAACGUGAAAUCCCCGAGCUCAACUCGGGAACUGCGUCCGAUACUGACAGGCUUGAAUCCGGGAGAGGGAUGCGGAAUUCCAGGUGUAGCGGUGAAAUGCGUAGAUAUCUGGAGGAACACCGGUGGCGAAGGCGGCAUCCUGGACCGGCAUUGACGCUGAGGCGCGAAAGCUAGGGUAGCAAACGGG